rnacentral:rRNA from 1 species
UACAGAGGUCUCAAGCGUUGUUCGGAUUCAUUGGGCGUAAAGGGUGCGUAGGUGGCGCGCUAAGUCAGGUGUGAAAUUUCGGAGCUUAACUCCGAAACUGCAUUCGAUACUGGCGGUGCUUGAGGACUGGAGAGGAGACUGGAAUUCAUGGUGUAGCAGUGAAAUGCGUAGAGAUCAUGAGGAAGACCAGUGGCGAAGGCGGCAUCCUGGACCAACAUUGACGCUGAGGAGCGAAAGCUAGGGGAGCAAACGGG